GAAAUGCGAUAAGUAGUGUGAAUUGCAGAAUUCAGUGAAUCAUCGAAUCUUUGAACGCACAUUGCGCCCCUUGGUAUUCCAUGGGGCAUGCCUGUUCGAGCGUCAUUUGUACCUUCAAGCUUUGCUUGGUGUUGGGUGUUUGUCUCGCCUCUGCGCGCAGACUCGCCUCAAAACAAUUGGCAGCCGGCGUAUUGAUUUCGGAGCGCAGUACAUCUCGCGCUUUGCACUCAUAACGACGACGUCCAAAAAGUACAUUUUUUACACUCUUGACCUCGGAUCGGGUAGGGAUACCCGCUGAACUUAAGC
rnacentral:misc_RNA from 1 species